UACGGAGGGUGCGAGCGUUGUCCGGAUUUAUUGGGCGUAAAGAGCUCGUAGGCGGCUCAGUAAGUCAGAUGUGAAGACUCAGGGCUCAACCCGGAGACGCCAUCUGAUACUGCUGUGGCUUGAGUCUGGUAGGGGAUCACGGAAUUCCUGGUGUAGCGGUGAAAUGCGUAGAUAUCAGGAGGAACACCUGCGGUGUAGACGGCUUACUGGACCACCACUGACGCUGAGGCACGAAAGCGUGGGUAGCAAACAGG
rnacentral:rRNA from 1 species